GACGAACGCUGGCGGCGUGCUUAACACAUGCAAGUCGAACGGAAAGGCCCUGCUUUUGUGGGGUGCUCGAGUGGCGAACGGGUGAGUAACACGUGAGUAACCUGCCCUUGACUUUGGGAUAACUUCAGGAAACUGGGGCUAAUACCGGAUAGGAGCUCCUGCUGCAUGGUGGGGGUUGGAAAGUUUCGGCGGUUGGGGAUGGAUUCGCGGCUUAUCCGCUUGUUGGUGGGGUAGUGGCUUACCAAGGCUUUGACGGGUAGCCGGCCUGAGAGGGUGACCGGCGACAUUGGGACUGAGGGACGGCCCAGACUGCUACGGGAGGCAGCAGUGGGGAAUAUUGCACAAUGGGCGGAAGCCUGAUGCAGCAACGCCGCGUGCGGGAUGACGGCCUUCGGGUGGUAAACCGCUUUCGCCUGUGACGAAGCGUGAGUGACGGUAAUGGGUAAAGAAGCACCGGCUAACUACGUG
rnacentral:rRNA from 1 species